GGCGGGGUGGCUUAGUGGUUAGCAUGUUUGCUUCACAUUGCCAGAGUUGGGGGUUCAAAUCUUGCCUCCACCC